rnacentral:rRNA from 1 species
CUGGGAUACCACUUGGAAACAGGUGCUAAUACCGGAUAACAACAAUAGCUGCAUGGCUAUUGCUUAAAAGGCGGCGAAAGCUGUCGCUAGAGGAUGGACCCGCGGUGCAUUAGCUAGUUGGUAAGGUAAUGGCUUACCAAGGCGACGAUGCAUAGCCGAGUUGAGAGACUGAUCGGCCACAUUGGGACUGAGACACGGCCCAAACUCCUACGGGAGGCAGCAGUAGGGAAUCUUCCACAAUGGGCGAAAGCCUGAUGGAGCAACGCCGCGUGAGUGAAGAAGGUUUUCGGAUCGUAAAGCUCUGUUGUUGGUGAAGAAGGAUAGAGGUAGUAACUGGCCCCUAUUUGACGGUAAUCAACCAGAAAGUCACGGCUAACUACGUGCCAGCAGCCGCGGUAAUACGUAGGUGGCAAGCGUUGUCCGGAUUUAUUGGGCGUAAAGCGAGCGCAGGCGGAAAGAUAAGUCUGAUGUGAAAGCCCCCGGCUUAACCGAGGAAUUGCAUCGGAAACUGUGUUUCUUGAGUGCAGAAGAGGAGAGUGGAACUCCAUGUGUAGCGGUGGAAUGCGUAGAUAUAUGGAAGAACACCAGUGGCGAAGGCGGCUCUCUGGUCUGUAACUGACGCUGAGGCUCGAAAGCAUGGGUAGCGAACAGGAUUAGAUACCCUGGUAGUCCAUGCCGUAAAC